rnacentral:rRNA from 1 species
AUUACCGCGGCUGCUGGCACGUAGUUGGCCGGUGCUUCUUCUGCAGGUACCGUCACUUUCGCUUCGUCCCUGCUGAAAGAGGUUUACAACCCGAAGGCCGUCAUCCCUCACGCGGCGUCGCUGCAUCAGGCUUUCGCCCAUUGUGCAAUAUUCCCCACUGCUGCCUCCCGUAGG